AGGAAGUGCUGGCACCUGGAUUCAGAGAGGGCACCACGCCAGCCCCACAAAGCGGCAGAGUGAAUGUGCGCACUGCUGAGCAUACCUGGACAACUGCUGCUCAUGGAGAACCUGCUGUCUGCCGCCAUUGGACCUUGAGUCAUCUUACAGGACAACCUAUGAGAUAGUCACUCUUUUCAUACCUGCUGACAAAGACGCUGAGGCCCAGGAAGGUGAAAUCACUCAACCAAGUCCACAGAGCCAGCAAGUACAAGAGCCCAAAUCGGGGCCCAUCCUUUCAAGUUCCACCUCUUAACUUUCACACCAACUUGCUGAGAGCAAACUGUGCUAUUUUCUUACUGA